GAAAGUAAUAAAGAGCGUAUGGGGGAUGCCUAGGCUCUUGGAGGCGAAGAAGGACGUGGUAAGCUGCGAAAAGUCGCGGGGAUUUGCAAACGAGAAUUGAUCCGCGAAUAUCCGAAUGGGACAACCCGGCAGGCAGAAGGCCUGUCACCCAGCAAUGGGGGCUAACCCUCUGAACUGAAACAUCUAAGUAGGAGGAGGAGAAGAAAGAAACAUCGAUUUCCAAAGUAGCGGCGAGCGAAAUGGAAGGAGCCCAAACCGGUAUUGUUACGGCAAUGCCGGGGUUAUAGGACUGCGAGAUUCGAAGGACAAAGAACUGGAAAGAUUUGGAAAAGUCGACCAUAGAGAGUGAAAGUCUCGUACAGGUAAUUGAGUUCUAAGAUAGCAGUAUCCUGAGUAUGGCGGGACACGAGGAAUCCAGUCAGAAUUCGCCGGGACCACCCGGUAAGGCUAAAUACUCCCAAGAGACCGAUAGUGAACCAGUACUGUGAAGGAAAGGUGAAAAGAACCCCGAACAGGGGAGUGAAAAAGAACCUGAAACCAUACGCUUACAACCUGUCGGAGCGGCUUCGUGCCGUGACGGCGUGCCUAUUGAAUAAUGAGCCUACGAGUUACUAAUCACUGGCGAGGUUAAGUGCUAGGAAGCACGGAGCCGAAGCGAAAGCGAGUCUGAACAGGGCGUUUAGUCAGUGGUUGUAGACGCGAAACCUUGCGAUCUACCCUUGAGCAGGAUGAAGGUUGGGUAAAGCCAACUGGAGGUCCGAACGAAUAAGCGUUGAAAAGCUUCUCGAUGACUUGAGGGUAGGAGUGAAAGGCCAAUCAAGCUGGGAAAUAGCUCGUACUCCCCGAAAUGCCUUUAGGGGCAGCGUUGUAAUAAAGAGUCUACUGGAGGUAGAGCUACUGAUUGGAUGCGGGGGCUUCACCGCCUACCAAAUCCCGACAAACUCCGAAUGCCAGUAGUAUGAUUUACAGCAGUGAGCCACCGGGUGCUAAUGUCCGGUGACAAAAGAGGAACAACUCAGACCAGCAACUAAGGUCCCCAAGCGUAUGCUAAGUUGAACUAACGAUGUUUUGUUGCAUAGACAGCUAGGAUGUUAGCUUGGAAGCAGCUAUUCAUUCAAAGAGUGCGUAACAGCUCACUAGUCGAGCGACAAAGCGUGGAUAAUAAACGGGCAUCAAGCAUACCACCGAAGUUCUGGGCGCGAAAGCGCGGUAGGGGAGCAUUCCAUUCAGCGUUGAAGCAGCGUCGUGAGAUGUUGUGGAGCGUAUGGAAAAGCAAAUGUAGGCAUGAGUAACGAUAAUGCGGGAGAGUAACCCGCACACCGCAAGACCAAGGUUUCCUGAUCAACGCUAAUCGGAUCAGGGUUAGUCGGGUCCUAAGGGUAAGCCGAACGGCGAUCUCGAUGGAUAAUCGGUUAAUAUUCCGAUACUGACAUAUACCUCGAUGGAGAGACGAAAUCGCGUAAGUACCGCCUCCUGACGGAAUAGGAGGUUAAAGGGCGUAUGUAUAGGGGCAGAUUAAGAGUCAGUCCUUGCUGAAACCCGACAGUACAGAGAGCCUACGGGCAAUUUGAUAGUGUACCCAAGCAUGUUUCCGAGAAAAUCUUCUAAGUUAUAGUAUAUGUCACCCGUACCGUAAACCGACACAGGUGGUCGAGGAGAGUAUCCUAAGGUGCUCGAGUGAAUCACGGUUAAGGAACUAGGCAAAUUAACCCCGUAACUUCGGGAAAAGGGGUCCCUACGCGAGUAGGGCGCAGCGAAGAGGUCCAGGCGACUGUUUAUCAAAAACACAGGGCUCUGCAAAUUCGAAAGAAGAAGUAUAGGGCCUGACACCUGCCCGGUGCUGGAAGGUUAAGAGGGGAUGUCAUCGCAAGAGAAGCAUUGAAUCGAAGCCCCAGUAAACGGCGGCCGUAACUAUAACGGUCCUAAGGUAGCGAAAUUCCUUGUCGGGUAAGUUCCGACCUGCACGAAUGGUGUAACGAUCUGG
rnacentral:rRNA from 1 species